rnacentral:rRNA from 1 species
AGAAUACCCCCGGGAAACUGGGGCUAAUUCUCGAUAGGUGAAGAACUCUGGAAUGAGUCUUUGCCUAAAAGAGCUUACGUUAUGCUCGUAAGUUUCGCCUAAGGAUGAGGCCGCGACCGAUCAGGUUGUUGGUGAGGUAAUGGCUCACCAAGCCUUUUACCGGUGCGGGCCGUGAGAGCGGGAGCCCGGAGAUGGGCACUGAGACAAGGGCCCAGGCCCUACGGGGCGCAGCAGUCGCGAAAACUUUGCAAUACACGAAAGUGUGACAGGGCUAUCCCGAGUGCCAUCCGCUGAGGAAGGCUUUUACCCAGUCUAGAACGUUGGGGGAAUAAGGAGAGGGCAAGUCUGGUGUCGGCCGCCGCGGUAAUACCAGCUCUCCGAGUGGUGUGGAUGUUUAUUGGGCCCAAAGCAUCCGUAGCUGGCUAAGUAAGUCCUUUGUUAAAUCCACCGAAUUAAUCGUUGGAUCGCGGGGGAUACUGCUUGGCUAGGGGACGAGAGAGGCAGACGGUAUUUUUGGGGUAGGGGUGAAAUCCUAUAAUCCCAGGAAGACCACCAGUGGCGAAGGCUGUCUGCUAGAACGCGCCCGACGGUGAGGGAUGAAAGCUGGGGGAGCGAACCGGAUUAGAUACCCGGGUAGUCCCAGCUGUAAACGAUGCAGGCUAGGUGUUUGGACGGCCACGUGCCGUUCUAGUGCCGCAGGGAAGCUGUUAAGCCUGCCGCGUGGGGAGUACGAUCGCAA